rnacentral:rRNA from 1 species
AAGAAAACAGUUCAGCACUAAGUCACUUUAUAUAUACUAUAAAUGUGAGAUGCAGUGUAUGGAAUGUUCAAUACUAAUAUGAGAAAUUAAUGAUUUAAGUCCUUCUUAAAUGAGGCCAUUUACCCAGAGAGGGUGCUAGGCCCGUAUAACAUUAAUGAUUAUUAGUGAACAUUUCCAAAGAGUCGUGUUGCUUGAUAGUGCAGCACUAAGUGGGUGGUAAACUCCAUCUAAAACUAAAUAUAACCAUGAGACCGAUAGUAAACAAGUACCGUGAGGGAAAGUUGAAAAGAACUCUGAAUAGAGAGUUAAAUAGUACGUGAAACUGCUUAGAGGUUAAGCCCGAUGAACCUGAAUAUCCGUUAUGAGAAAUUCAUCAUUAUGAUUAUUGUACAAUAAUAUGUAUUAUAAUAAUAGUGUGCAUUUUUCUCAUAUAAGGACAUUGUAAUCUAUUAAUGAGUAAAAUUAUAUAUUUUAUCAUAAGAUUAAAUGGAAUUAAAGUUUAAAUAUAUAUUAAAAUGUACAUUGUACAAAUUAUAUUGUUUAAUUUCCAUUAAUUGGAUAAAUUAUUGAUAGAUUGUGAUAUAUUAGUGCUUAAAUAUAUUUAUAUUUUAUAGUGGAGUUUUUUAUAAAAGAAUAUUUUUAAAAUUCCCAUUAUACGCACUUUAAUAUGAUUUACAAUGCGAAAGAUUCAGGAUACCUUCGGGACCCGUCUUGAAACACGGACCAAGGAGUCUAACAUAUAUGCAAGUUAUUAGGAUUAAUUAUAAAAACCUAAUGGCGUAAUUAACAUAACGAAUUAUAAUUUUUAUAAUGGGAUUAAUUUUUAGUAUUAUUUUUUUAUAUUGAAAGUAAACUAUUAAUUCAAUCCCGGGGCGUUCUAUACAGUUAUGUAUAAUAAUAUUUAUAUUAUUUAUACCUCUAACUAGAACGUACCUUGAGCAUAUAUGCUGUGACCCGAAAGAUGGUGAACUAUACUUGAUCAGGUUGAAGUCAGGGGAAACCCUGAUGGAAGACCGAAACAGUUCUGACGUGCAAAUCGAUUGUCAGAAUUGAGUAUAGGGGCGAAAGACUAAUCGAACCAUCUAGUAGCUGGUUCCCUCCGAAGUUUCCCGCAGGAUAGCUGGUGCAUUUAAUAAUUAUGAAAAUAAUCUUAUCUGGUAAAGCGAAUGAUUAGAGGCCUUAGGGUCGAAACGAUUUUAACCUAUUCUCAAACUUUAAAUGGGUAAGAACUACACCUUUCUUGAUAUGAAGGUCGUAGUUAUAAUAUGAUAUAAUGUGCCCAGUGGGCCACUUUUGGUAAGCAGAACUGGCGCUGUGGGAUGAACCAAACGUAAUGUUACGGUGCCCAAAUUAAUAACUCAUGCAGAUACCAUGAAAGGCGUUGGUUGCUUAAAACAGCAGGACGGUGGACAUGGAAGUCGUAAACCGCUAAGGAGUGUGUAACAACUCACCUGCCGAAGCAACUAGCCCUUAAAAUGGAUGGCGCUUAAGUUAUAUACCUAUACAUUACCGCUAAAGUGAAUGGUUUAUAUAUAAUUUCGGUUAUAUGAUAAGCUUUGAAACUUUAGUGAGUAGGAGGGUACGAUGGUGUGCAUAGAAGUGUUUGGCGUAAGCCUGCAUGGAGCCGCCAUCGGUACAGAUCUUGGUGGUAGUAGCAAAUAAUCGAAUGAGACCUUGGAGGACUGAAGUGGAGAAGGGUUUCGUGUGAACAGUGGUUGAUCACGAGUUAGUCGGUCCUAAGUUCAAGGCGAAAGCUGAAAAUUUUCAAGUUGUUAAAAUAUAUUUUUUUUAUUAUAAACAUAUAUAUAUGUAUAAUGAAACACUUGAAAAUUAAUUGAACGAAAGGGAAUACGGUUCCAAUUCCGUAACCUGUUGAGUAUCCGUUUGUUUAUUAAAUGUGGGCCUUAGUGCUCAUCCUGGUAACAGGAACGACCAUAAAGAAGCCGUCGAGAGAUAUCGGAAGAGUUUUCUUUUCUGUUUUAUAUUCGUACUACCAUGGAAGUCUUUCGAAGAGAGAUAUGGUAGAUGGAAUAGAAGAGCAUGACAUUUACUGUUGUGUCGAUAUUUUCUCCUCGGACCUUGAAAAUUUAUGGUGGGGUCACGCAAACUUCUCAACAGGCCGUACCAAUAUCCGCAGCUGGUCUCCAAGGUGAAGAGUCUCUAGUC